rnacentral:lncRNA from 1 species
AGUAAAUGUGGUAGAAAACAAGAUAAAUUUAUAAACUAAAACAAAUUAUCAAAAUUCAUAUUAAUGGAAUGAGAAGAAUAUGUAUACCUUGGUUAAGAUUUAAAUGAAGGAAAACCUUACUUGCAAUAAGUUGUGAGGUAGAUGGAAGGUGAAGAAGAUGACCUUGGAGUAGAAAUAUGUUAUGAGAUUUAAUGAUAAAAUGUGAAAGAAAAAUGAAGUAGAGUUUUGGGAUGGAAUGAAGAGGUUUGGUGUGAGAAAGAAGAGAAGGAUAUUGUUAAUUGUGUGUGUGUGUGUGUAAAAAUGAAGUGAAGAGAAUGUGGAUAUUUAUAGAGUUAAGGAUGAAGAAAGUUGAUGAAUAAAAAUAAUAUAAUAAGUUGGUGGAGAAAAUAGAUAAAAUAAUAUAGUGAAUAGUAAAAGUUAAUGUAGAAAAUAAGUCAAAGAAAUAAUAUAAAAAAGUUGGUGGAGAAAUUAGAUAAAAUAAAAUAUACUGAAUAGUAAAAGUUAAUGUGGAAAAUAAAUGAAAGAAAUAAUAUAAAAAAGUUAGUGGAGAAAGUAGAUGAAAUAAAAUAUAGUAAAUAGUAAAAGUUAAUGUGGAAAAUAAGUGAAAGAAAAUAUAAAAAGUUGGUGGAGAAAGUAUGUGAAAUAAAAUAUANNNNNNNNNNNNNNNNNNNNNNNNNNNNNNNNNNNNNNNNNNNNNNNNNNNNNNNNNNNNNNNNNNNNNNUGGAGAAAGUAGGUGAAAUAAAAUAUAGUAAAUAGUAAAAGUUAAUGUGAAAAAUAAGUGAAAGAAAUAAUAUAAAAAGUUGGUGGAGAAAGUAGAUGAAAUAAAAUAGAGUAAAUAGUAAAAGUUAAUGUGGAAAAUAAGUGAAAGAAAUAAUAUAAAAUGUGGGUGGAUAAAGUAGAUGGAUGAAGGAAAUAAUAAAUGUUGGUGGAGAAGAUAUAAUUAAAAAAAAGUAAGUGGAAUUAUUAGAAAAGUUGGUAUAUAAAAAUUAUUAUGAAAAUGAGGUGGAAAAAGUAAAUGAAAAAGGUAGAUGAUGUGGAAGGUGAUGUGGAGAGUGGGGUGUGAGAAGAAAAAUAUGGUGGUGAAAAAGUAAAAAAAAAAUUGGGAUUAUCUUGGGCCAUAGGGCUAAGGGUUAAAAAGUUAAUUUGGGGGUGUAAAUAGUAAAACAAAUAGUAUUUUUUUAUUCUUAUUUUUAUAAUUUAUUUUUGUGAUAAAUUUUAUUUAACUCAAGAAAAAUAAUAAAUCUGAGCUGAAGAAAAGAGAAGAGAAGAGAAAAAGAGAAAGAUAUACUCUCAAGCUUCAUUGUCAUAUUGCUUACUGUUGUAAGAAAGAAGAAAGAAAUAUUUGCGAGUGUUUAUACUGUUUUGUAUUGUAAUCAAAUCCUCUCUGCAAGAGAUAUAGUCUGAGCUACUUGUAAGCAAUUGUUGAUUGCAAUUUGAAGAGAAUUAAAAUAAUUACAACUAAACUCUGUUUGAGUUUAGGAAUCUUGGCAAGGUUACUGAGUACCAAGAGUGGUUCGAAUACUCAAAGGAAAUCUUGGCUA